GUGGACGUAGCCAAGUGGACCAAGGCAAUGAAUUGUGAAUCCACCACACAUGGGUUCAAUCUUUGUCAUUCACC
rfam:Picea glauca, whole genome shotgun sequence.